AUACGGAGGGUGCAAGCGUUAAUCGGAAUUACUGGGCGUAAAGCGUACGUAGGCGGUCCGUUAAGUUAGAUGUGAAAGCCCCGGGCUUAACCUGGGAACUGCAUUUAAAACUGGCGGACUAGAGUUGAGUAGAGGGGAGUGGAAUUUCAGGUGUAGCGGUGAAAUGCGUAGAGAUCUGAAGGAACACCAGUGGCGAAGGCGACUCCCUGGACUCGAACUGACGCUGAGGUACGAAAGCGUGGGUAGCAAACGGGAUUAGAAACCCCGGUAGUCC
rnacentral:rRNA from 1 species